GGAACUAUAAGGGAAAUCGAUGGCAACAAUUUGGUCAAGAAGGUUCUCGAACAAGAGCCUGAAAUGUUACCCUGCCAUGCAUCAGCAUCUCCGCUUUCUCCUCAGCUUUCUUCCCUUGGCACGCCGCGCCUCGGCCCGUCAAUUAAGGUGUGGGACCCUUACAAUGUCUUGGCCCCGCCUCCGCCGCUUCCUCCUCCUCCUCCAAUUUUCUCUCGGAGCUUGUCGUCAUCUUCGUCUGGCGGGAUUGUUGACGACGAUCGUGCCGUCACCGAGGUGUAUUUGAUUAAUCAUGGAGAGUGCGAACUUAAUUUGAGGCCAGAUUUGGUCGGUGGGAGGUGCCAUGUGGCGGCUUUGACGCCAAACGGGAAACGUCAGGCUAGGGCUUUAGCUGU
rnacentral:misc_RNA from 1 species